UGAGGAUGUGCUGCCUUUAACAUGGGUCUUAUUCUGAUUUAAUCAUGAAAUGCAGGCAGAUCCCAGUCUCUCCUCCUCCAGUGGUUCAAACUGGAGUAUUGUUGUUGCUGAUAAAAUGGUUAUCCUGUUUUGAUCAGAGUUAUCAAACCUUCCUGCUGCUUCUGGUCAUCUCAAAACUGAAGUGGACACCACUGAUGUUUACCUGGACGGACAGUUUCUGGUGGUCUGAAGAAAUGGAAACCUUCAUUAAGACAUCAGGUUUGUUUUUUGAGUCCAUACCUUAGUUGACAUCUUGUUGAUUUAAAGUUAUAUUAAGUUGACCUCU